GGACAGAUGGUGCAACGGCAGCGCACGCGAGAUUCGUAUACAUCGACCAAUGUAUGCUCGCGAGGUCUUCGUUUGAUUCGGAGUCUGGCCA